UGCCACGUUAGCGUUGACCGAGUCAACACUGGACUGGGGGUUCAAAACUGCCAAAGAAUCAAAACAUAGGGGGCUGUUUUGUAUUUAAAUUAGUUAGGGGUCCAUAACCGCAACUUUUGGAAAGAUAGAGGUCCAAAAGUGCAAUUAAGCCUUUAUUUAAACAUCUUUCAUCAAUAAUUCAAAUUACAUCGCAGCGGAAAAACAUUUCAUUAUUCAACAAAAUGGCACUACGGCAUCAACAUAAACAACUUAUUAAAAUUUCAUUCUAGGUAGUUCAUCAACAUAAUUCAUAAUAAUACGUAACAAAUGAAAAACAACACAAAUAUCUCCAUUCCGUUACGUAUCAGAGAGACCCUAAGACGACGCGUGAGAGAGUCAACUCACUUCAACAACUAAUCCUGGUUAUCUGCACGUUACCCACGUAGACACAACGCGUUAGACCAAAUCCAAUGGAAAGCUAACAAAAUUAUCUAAAACUUUCAUGUUUACACCAAAGGCCAAUUCAAAACCGAAACGUGUGAAAAAGACGCAAGAACAUAAAACAGGGUAUGCUAUCACUGUGCAAUUUCGCUAAUGGCGAAAAGUUAGCUAGUAGCGAAAUUGUUACAGAGGAUUUCGCCAAUAGCGAACUUCUAGCGAGUUUUUCCCCUGCUGUUACGAUUUCUGCACAUUUUUCACCCAAAAAACCCAAAUUUCAUCUACCCAAAUCCCAAAUUUGAUAGGAAACUUAACCUAUGAUUAUUCUACAAUCUGAAUAACAAUUCUCACCAUGAUUCAUUGGAUUACAUACACUUUCAAAAAUCAAAUUGAAAUUCAAAACCUAAUUUCAUUAACAUCAUAAUUUCAAUAAUCAAUUUUAACCCGAAUUUCUAUAACAACAAAACUAACAAGGCUAAACUGCAUUUUUCACCCCCUAUGUUUCAAAAUAUUGCAAUUUUGGUCCCCUAUUAAAAAAAUAGCAAUUUUGGCCCCUUUCAUCCAAAAAUUGUUGAGAAGACGCCACAUGUCCCAAAAAAGGGGCCAUAAUCACAACUUUUUGUAAAGAUAAGGGGUCAAAAAACAUAUUUCCCUUAUGUUAGGAGGUCAAAAGAGCGUAUUUCCCUAAACAUAGGGGGUCACUUUUGCCAUUUUUUUUAAUAGGGGGUCAAAAUUGCAACAUUUUAAAACUUAGAGGGUGAAAAGUGAAGUUUAGCCAACUAACAAAACAACAUGUUAAACCCCUAUUCCAGAAUUAUAAACCUAAUUCCUAUAACAUCAAAACUAACAACAACUACAAGGUUAAACCCUUUUCAGAAUUAUACAACUCAUUAUUAGAGAAAGCUAGUCCCACCCUUACCUUAGAUUAGAUGAUCGGACUCUACAAGAUUGUUCCUCCUAUCUCACAAGAUUCUUCUCUUCUCUGACUUCUCACUUUCUCCCUUUUUCUCCCAAAAACUGUUUUCACGUAAUCCUUAUUUUCUAAUUCUAACUCUCCCCUUGUAUAUAAGUCCUUAACCUACUUAUUUUCUCUUAUUUCCAAAUCUGUCAUCCAAGUCUCAAUAUUCUAUUCUAAUAUAUAUAUAAAAUAUUUCUAUAAAAAAUAACAAAUAUAUUUAUACACCAGAUAACAUAUAUAUUUCUACACCAAAUAACAAAUAUAUUCCUACACCACAUAACAUAUAUUUCCACACCAAAUAACAUAAUAUUUCCACACCAAAUAACAUAAUAUUUCUACACCAAAUAUCAUAAUAUAUUAUACUAAUAAAUACCAACAUAUAAUAUAACAAAAUAUUACUCAUCAAAAUAAAUCGACUAAAUUAUAAAAAGACAUCUAAACUCAAUAAAAUAAAUAAAUAAUAAAAUAGGGUUUACAACAUGCAUACAAGUCUAUGUGAGAGCCGUGAUUUGAUUAUGUGAAUAUAUGUGAAGAUGUGUGCCUAAUGAUGUGUGUUCAUGUGAUAUUUGGUGAUGGUGUCGAAGCAUGAAUUAUAUAUUUUUGAUUUAGCGAUGAAGUGAUAAUGCAAUUACUUUUUAUAUCAUGUGUUUAUGAUAUGAGAUUUAAUAUGUUUGUUGAUUGACUAAGUAUGAAUGUAAUGAUGAUAGUUUAGGAAAUGAAUAUGUAUAUCCAUAUGCGAUGUUUUAAAUUCCUAAAUACUAUGCUUUUAUUCAUAUCUUUUUAUGUGAAUGUUGAUCUUACCCUCUAGUGGCAAUUUGGUCGCUUGAUCGACGUGAGUACCGGAGGAGGACUUGAGGCCUAUCCUCCUUCUUUGCUUUUGUUUUUGGAGUCUUAGUGGUUGUACUAUGAUUAGGGUGUUUGGGAGACUAUUUAUCUUUACUUUUGGAUUUUUAUGUUUUAGAGGAGCUUAGAGUUAUCUGGAUGAUGUAGUAUGAGAUGUUGAGAUGAUAACUUUAUGUUGUGACUCCGCUGCGACUGUUUUAUGAUUAUAAUGAUUUAUGACUAUUUUGGAUUUAUGAUGAAGUAGCACCUUGAACCUUUGUGAUUAUCUGUUGAUUUAUUAUUAAAUAUCGUAUUGGGGUUUGAGAGAGUUACAUGAUUGACAUUUUUUUAUACUACAACUUAGACAGUGUAUACUUGCACUAAGUUUUUCCACCUUAAAAUAUUUAGUGUUUUGGGAGACACCACAAGUGCAGAAACAAACAAAGAAAUUCAAUGACAAAGAAAAUAUAACAAGUCAUUUUAUUAGAAGCAAAGUAAUUUCAAAUGACUACUCAACGACAUUAUCUAUUUGAGGCAAUUUGAUGUGCUAUAACUUCUUCAACAACCGCUCUCUUGUUCUCUCAUAUAUAAGGACCUUAGCAGUUGAAUAAAGACAACAAGACUUAUAUCAUUUUUCACAAGUCCCUUACUCUAUUUGCCAUGAUCUUCAUUUCUCUAUUUGUUGUUGCAUUGAAUGUUGACGGUAAGCCAUUUUGUAUCAUCAAUGCAAAAUACAUAUGAUAAGAAAGAGUUCAUAUGAUUGGUCAUUUUUUUAUAUUACCUUUUUACAAAGUUUACUGCAAAGACACACAACACUUUAAUGUAUUUAAGACAUAAUUAAUUAUAAGUUUUUAAAAAAUACUAACACAACUCACUCAAGUACUUAAGAGAUAGGUAAUAAAAAUUUUGGUUUUCUUGAAGGUUUUUUUUACUCCUCCAUCAGCUCUAAAGCCUAGCCUUAAAUGUUUUUUUUAUUAAAACUGUUCAUUGAGUGCAAAGAUAAUGUGCAUAAAAAUUGUAAAAUCUAUAAGAUUUGAACAAAUCCAUACUCCAUCAUUGAUUAAGUUUGUAUAUGCAUUAAAAUAUAUUUGUUAGCUUGUUCAAGAUCCAACACUAAACAUUAUAUUUAUUGAUAUUGUUCAUAGAUUCAAAUAAAUAUUAUAAACAUAAAGGACAACACAAAUAUACUCUAUCAGUUGUCAAAUAUAAGCAAAUUUUGACUUUUUAGAUUUAUUCCAUUAAAAAUGUAUGUGGUCUAUAAUAUAGACCACAUACAUCGUUAAUUGAAUGAACCUAGAAAAUCAAAAUUUGAUUAUAAUUAACAAUGGAGGAAGUAUAUAGUAGUUAUAGCUCUGAUUUGGCUUAAAGUUCACAUGAAAUCCUUUUUUUAUUUUAUACUUUUUAGUGAUUUUCCUCUCUAUCAUCAAAGUUUAUUGAAUAAUAAUGAAUUUUUAUGAUUGAUAAGUUUUUUUAUGUGACAUAUUUACUAAGGGUGUUAAAAAGACAAACACAACUCAUUAAUGUACUAAAGAGAUGUUACAACUCAUUAAUAUAUUAAAGAGAUGUUUAAUAAUGAUUAUUAAUUUAUGAAGGUUUUUUACAUCUCCAUCGGCUCUUGAAUUAUUUACAGUUUUUAAGGUGAGAAUUAGCUUUAUAAGUCAUAAAGUGAUAAAACCAUAUUCUAUUUCUUACAUGCAUAUGGAAGAAAGUAUGGCUGAAAAGUUAAGUUUGUUUAUGUUAUGAUUAUCUUUAUUUCUCUCUUUUUUGUUGCAAUGAAUGUUGAUGGGACGUCAUUUUGUAUCAUCGAUGCAAAAUACAUAUGAUAAGAAAGAGUUCUUAUGAUUAGUUAAUUUUUUUAUGUUACCUUUUUCCUAAGGUUACUAAAAGACACACAACACUUUAAUGUACUUAAGACAAAUCUAAUUAUAAGUGUUCAAAAAUUACUAAUAACACGCCAAGGUACUCAAGAGUAACAUAAUAAACUUUUUAGUUUUAUGAAGGGUUUUUUCCUCCUCCAUCAGCUUUAAAGCCUAGCUCUAAUCUUUUUUAUUAAAACUAUUUGUUGUUCAUUGUGUGCAAAGAUAAUGUGUAUAAAAACUGUAAAAUCUAUGAGAGAUCUAUAAGAUUUGAACAAAUCCAUACCCAAUCUUUGAUCAAGUCUGUAUUUCCAUUAAAUGCAUUGAAACAUACUUUUUAGCUUGUUCAAGAUCCAACACUAAACAUUAUAUUUAUUGAUAUUGUUAAUAGAUUGUAAUCAUUAUAAAAACAAAGGACAAUAUAUAUAUAUUAGUUAUACCUUUGAUUUGGUUCAAAGUUCACAUGAAAUCCUUUUUUUUUUCUCUUCUUUUUUGUGAUUUUCCCUUUC
rnacentral:lncRNA from 1 species